GAUGAACGCUGGCGGCGUGCCUAAUACAUGCAAGUCGAGCGAAUGGAUUAAGAGCUUGCUCUUAUGAAGUUAGCGGCGGACGGGUGAGUAACACGUGGGUAACCUGCCCAUAAGACUGGGAUAACUCCGGGAAACCGGGGCUAAUACCGGAUAACAUUUUGAACCGCAUGGUUCGAAAUUGAAAGGCGGCUUCGGCUGUCACUUAUGGAUGGACCCGCGUCGCAUUAGCUAGUUGGUGAGGUAACGGCUCACCAAGGCAACGAUGGGUAGCCGACCUGCGAGGGUGAGCGGCCACCCGGGGACGGAGACACGGCCCAGACUCCUACGGGAGGCAGCAGUAGGGAAUCUUCCGCAAUGGACGAAAGUCUGACGGAGCAACGCCGCGUGAGUGAUGAAGGCUUUCGGGUCGUAAAACUCUGUUGUUAGGGAAGAACAAGUGCUAGUUGAAUAAGCUGGCACCUUGACGGUACCUAACCAGAAAGCCACGGCUAACUACGUGCCAGCCGCCGCAGUAA
rnacentral:rRNA from 1 species